rnacentral:rRNA from 1 species
CGUAGUCCGGAUUGGAGUCUGCAACUCGACUCCAUGAAGUCGGAAUCGCUAGUAAUCGUGGAUCAGAAUGCCACGGUGAAUACGUUCCCGGGCCUUGUACACACCGCCCGUCACACCAUGGGAGUGGGUUGCAAAAGAAGUAGGUAGCUUAACCUUCGGGAGGGCGCUUACCACUUUGUGAUUCAUGACUGGGGUGAAGUCGUAACAAGGUAACCGUAGGGGAACCUGCGGUUGGAUCACCUCCUUACCUUAAAGAA